rnacentral:snRNA from 1 species
AUUGCUCUACAGCCUUUUGGUUAACAUCAAAGUGUAGUAUCUGUUCUUAUCAACUUAAUAUCUGAUACGGUCCCUAUUAGAGAUAACUUAAAAAACUGAUAGAAUCACA